rnacentral:rRNA from 1 species
UGGACAACAGGUAGAGAUUCCUGUACCAGUGCUAAUUGUUUAACCGAUGGGGUGACACAGAAGGAUAGGGAAUCGCACGAAUGGAAAUGUGCGUCCAAGCAGUGAGUGUGAGAAGUAGGCAAAUCCGCUUCUCGCGAAGCAUGAGCUGUGAUGGGGAAGGAAAUUAAGUACGGAAGUUCCUGAUUUCACGCUGUCAAGAAAAGCCUCUAGGAAGAGUAGUACUGCCCGUACCGCAAACCGACACAGGUAGAUGAGGAGAGAAUCCUAAGGUGAGCGAGAGAACUCUCGUUAAGGAACUCGGCAAAAUGACCCCGUAACUUCGGGAGAAGGGGUGCUCUAUUAGGGUGCAAGCCCGAGAGAGCCGCAGUGAAUAGGCCCAGGCGACUGUUUAGCAAAAACACAGGUCUCUGCAAAACCGUAAGGUGACGUAUAGGGGCUGACGCCUGCCCGGUGCUGGAAGGUUAAGAGGAGUGCUUAGCUUCGGCGAAGGUACGAAUUGAAGCCCCAGUAAACGGCGGCCGUAACUAUAACGGUCCUAAGGUAGCGAAAUUCCUUGUCGGGUAAGUUCCGACCCGCACGAAAGGCGCAACGAUCUGGGCACUGUCUCAACGAG